rnacentral:rRNA from 1 species
UACGUAGGUGGCAAGCGUUGUCCGGAAUUAUUGGGCGUAAAGCGCGCGCAGGCGGUUCUUUAAGUCUGAUGUGAAAGCCCACGGCUCAACCGUGGAGGGUCAUUGGAAACUGGAGAACUUGAGUACAGAAGAGAAAAGCGGAAUUCCACGUGUAGCGGUGAAAUGCGUAGAGAUGUGGAGGAACACCAGUGGCGAAGGCGGCUUUCUGGUCUGUAACUGACGCUGAGGCGCGAAAGCGUGGGGAGCAAACAGG